rnacentral:misc_RNA from 1 species
GAACUCCUUUGUGAGGAAGCAGCGGUAAUCAUCUCUUUCCAUUUUGUUUCUGAUUAGGAUUCUUAAUUUAAUCAACACAACACUAGGCUGGGGCAGGUUUAGCCUUGAUGCUUUGUUAAGACUAUACAUCAUGACAUGGAGGUCAUGGACUUGAAGUUAUGGGAAAAUGCUUUGCACCGCCUAAUCUCCUUGGAGCUUGUAAUGUGGUAGACUGGUUUAAUUGUGUUGGCACCCUUUGGAAAAGCCUCAACCCUUGAUGUUAAUUACCAGAUAGUUGAUUUGAUACGUUUUGGCAUUUAUCUCUAAGCCUCUAACUAGAGCCAUAAUCUUGAUUAUCAUCAAUUCAUAAUAUCAUUUCUGUUUGACUGUCAUGAGCGACUUUUUGUUUUUUGGUUUAUUCUUGCACUUUAUGGUUAUUUAAAAUUGAACCAGAUUUUUCCAUUGAUUUUAUUUAUUUAUUUAUUUACAGUUCUAUAUAAAGUUUCUCAGGGGCCAACUCUUUUCUAAGUGCAACCAAUUUCUCUCGAGCCCUUCAAUUUCCAUUGCAAAAUUUUACAUACUUAAGACUAGAAUUCUAGGCUCAAUUAUUUAUUCUCACUAGUUCCGAAUGUGUUGGUUAGGACACAAUUUAUCAGAUAAGGAGAUUUGGAUUGAGAAUUCAUCUUUACUUUAAUCUCAAACUAAAUGGGAUUUAAUUAUAAGGAUUUGUUUUCUCCAUGCCACUUAAUCAAAAGUUACCUAUAGCACAGAAAAAUAAUCCCAUGAAUCCUGUCCAAUUCUAAAACAGACAUAUCUUUCCAGAUAUGAACUCAGUAACCAUCCAGUUCAGGGGACGGAACAGAACAGGACACUAUAGGCAUUUUCCUCUUCUUCUUUCACAGGGUGGGAAGGGUUUGGAUAAUUACCGACUUUUUUUGCUUUACUCGACAAUUGUCAACGGGAUAACAAAAUACAUCUAAUCUGAAAGUAAUGCACUGUACACGAGAGAAUGAACCAUCAUUAAAGUCAUGUUAGUGCUACCUUUCAUAAAUAAAUCAUUAUACUAUCAUGGACAAAGACGUUCAUAUUAGCAAAAGCUUUUUAAAUAUUCCUACCACUCUCAACCCUUUUUUCUUCCUUAAAAGGGUUCCUAUGGUGAAUAUGAUCAUCAUCAUCCAAACCAAUAAAAUGGCUACAGCUCCUAAGAACUUAUCCUAAGCGAUGACAUGAACACAGGAAUUAAAAUCAAUACAAAUGUGAAGAGUAGUCCUCACCUGUAUAUACUUUUCCGCAAGAAUACAAUUUCCUGAUCAAAGCAUCGCUCCCACUAAGCAUUGCCAAAAAGGAUAUGAUGCCAACUUUAAAACCUUUCACGGAAGCACCUAAAAGCAAUUUAAUAAGUUUGCCGGUUUUGGCCCAAGAGUGACGUGGGUUCAAAUAUUAAAGUGAAAAGCACCCAAUAACAGUGGAACAGUUCUUGCACUACAGAUUGACACAGGAAGCCAGUAUCCCAAGCUGAAGCCCGAAAAGGUAUUUUUCAUGUUUCAUCAUUUACUGCUUUCUCGACUUUUUAAUGUAAAUUCAACAAGCUUAACUUUCUUUGAGUUUUCACUGUUGACGAGCGAGAGUUUUGCAAGCAAAGAUUUCAGCAAGGAGAUUUGGACAUCUUGGACGUAAUUCUUCCCUGACAUUUGCCUCUGCUGGUUCAACACAUCAGCUUUUGAUGAUUGUGUGUACCUUCUCAACCUUGCUUUCAUAGUCUUAAUGGAAGUACGCAAAGCAUUCAACUCAAUUCCUGUAAAGUGGUCAAGCUCAGACUUAAAAUCACAAUCUGCUCUUGACAAAGGUUUCUUGUGAGCCCCAGGCAAAUUCCUUAAGUGUUACAAACGUCAUUCUAGAAGAUUUUGUACAUGAAUUGCAUGAUCGAUCCUCUCCUCCAAUCCUGACUGUUUCUCCUCCACUUUCAACAGCUUCUCUUGCGCCUCACUCACACAAGCAUGCUGGUCACCAAUGAUUCUCUUCAACUGAGGCUCAUGGUGCUUGAUCUCAAAAUACACCUAAAGAAGUGGAGGAUAACAUCUUCAUAUAACUUGCUAGAAGUCCAUUUAAUCCCACAACAGUAUUAGAUAUAGCUUAGUUGAAGAUCUUGCCAAGCAUACAAAACACAACCUAGCUUAAAAGUUGACCUUUAUUGGCAAAGGUCCAAAAAACAGAAAUGGCAAUAACAAUCACAAUUUCAAAUGAAAAUAAACUUGAGAGAAUGCGAAGCCAAAAACAUCAACAGGUCUCCAGUGAGGUGCACUUGGACUUUAUCAACUGUAAUUAAGAAUGCAGAACCAUUAAUCAUGUCCUAAAAGCACUUUCCUGUCAAACAAAAUCAUUAUAGUUACAUGCCUAUGAUCAACUCCUUACAGCUUUUGAUUAGCUUAUUGGACUUAACUAUUCAUUCGUUUUAUUGUCAGUUAUGAAGGCUGCCUACUAAUUGCUCUUUCAAGGUUGUAUGGUGAAAUUGUGUUCCUUCCCACAAACUAGAACCAUCAGAGAUGGCAAGAGAAAAGACGUUCUAUUGUAAAGAGACAUGGACUAAAUCAGUAAAAGCUGAUUAGAAAAUUUAUACAGGAUGGUACCUUCUCACUUAUGAGAAUAUUCAAUAUAAUUUUCAUGAAAAAACUUGAAAUACUGAUGCAGAGUUUAUCAAUCUUCAAUAGAAUCAGCAGCAACUGAUCGAAGAUUUGGUGAGGCCUGAGGAAGAAGAACCACUAAGAAGUUCUUUGCUUACGAUGUCUGGAGUAUUUUCCUCUUUCCAUUCUUCAGAGAUUGGGGAUUUCUUCUCCACAUCAACAUGUAUGGGAAGCAAUAAAUUCCAUGUUUUCAUUUCAAGCACAAAACAUUCUUGCAUUGAGGUGACUCCUAUAAUCCAUGAGUAUCCAAAUGAAUCUGAUAAUGCCUCAAAACCACAUAGGGGUGAGGAAUUAUCUGCCUGGCAUGUGCUAAGGACAGGAUGCACAGAGGGAGCUCGGACAGUCUCUUCCUUCCCACUGGACUGACUGGUAAAUGGAAGAAAAUGCAACAAUAUUGAAUCUAUCCCACCAUCAUGAACCGAAUAGAUUCUUUCAGGCAUAAGAGGAUCAGAAAACAUCAUAAUAUUAGAUCCACUUUCUGUUUUCCUUGGCAAAGCCAAAUCCACAAUUGCAAGUCUCAACAAUGGCGGUGGAUGACUUAACCAAACAGUAUGAUCAAGUGGUUGAUCAAGCUUCACAACAGGAAUCUUGCUUGAGGUUGAUUCACAAAUCAUAGCAAGAACAAGAAUAUGGCCAUGAGAAUCAACACAAAUAUGAGGUGGGCUACCAACAGUCCAGACUGGCUGGAUUUCAUCAGCCAGAGCAUCUAUUUGCAAUUGGCCCCCACUCCAUGCAGUCACCAAAAUUGAAUCUGUGCUGACUUUAUUAUAGAGAAAAUUGACUGCACAACCUUCACAUUCCACACCCCGAACAGCUGAAUCUUCAUCUUCCCUGCCAUGAUGUACUUUUCGUAGAGGCCCCUGUAAACAAAGUGAUGCGUCAAAUAAAACAUAGGGUCAAGCUUUUAAUGCCAAUAGAUUUUCCCCUUCCAUCACCUCAUUAUCUAACUCAGGAAAUAUUGCUUCCAACCAAGAGAUUGCCAGGUUAGAGUACAGCUGUCUAAUUUGCUGAUUUCAGCCCAAAUGUGUGAACAUCACUAUAUAUCUCCAAUACUGAUUCCCAUUUGUGCACACAGUAACAAAACAAAGCACUCAAUUUGAUCAGCAUCAAAUAUAAAAUCAUAUGGUAUAUGAAGAGGCAGUUUAAUUUAUGCUUGUCUUCUAGUUUCUACAUUAAACAAGCAGCAGAAAUAACAGGGGAAUAAUUAAACAAUAUCCAACACAUUGUCAGCACUAGUAAGCAUCUAUGAAGACCACAAUAAGAUAUGAUACGUGAAGUCACACAUGUAGGAUUUAUCAUGAUCCCAUUUUUUUGAAGCACAUGAUUUUCCAAAAUGUUAAUAAUGUACGUAUAUCCCUCCUUAAGAGAAAAAAUGUAAGCAGCAAAAUCUUGCAGAUGCAGAUGUUUGAAGAAGAUACAAGAUGAAAAACACCUUCCAAAUGAAACAAUUGGGCAAGGGAUAUAAAUUGAACUGUCACUAAAUAAAACAAAAACCUGCAUAAUUGCCAAAACUUAAUUAAAUAGUAAAUGAAUAAAUAAGCAAAUAAGCUGCUAUACAAUGAAAACAGUAUUCUUCAAAUAACCCAAUGAACAUGCAACAUAAUUAAAAUGGAUGAGACUGCAGAAAACUUGUUAUUAAGCCAGAUAUUGAUAUUGAAUGAUGAUGCUAUAAUGCAUCAGAAAUCAUCUGUGAAUAAUGGUGAUGGAAAAACUCUUUUGAAGUACAAAGGAGUUUUGUCAAGAAAAAUCUGCAGCAAAUGUCAAAGGUUAUAUUUGAAUAGUACAACUAGUUUCCACAACAAAAGGCAACAAUUGCAGCGGAAUAGUAGAACUAGGCACUAAAAUUAUACACCAAAACAAACUGUGAAUGAGGAAGUCCAAUGGGCCGGGCUUAACUCACCCCCUUAAAGCUAGGUCAAGAGGGGAGGAAUGCUCAAUGCCAUAUAAGAGGCACAUUACUCUUAUCUCAAACUAUUGUGGGAUCUUAACACACACUCCUCAUGCCCAAAACUGAAUACCUGGAGCAUGAAGUACUUAUGAGAGGCCUAAAUAUCAUCUUAAGAAAAUGGGCCGAAUCUAACUCACCCCCAAAAGCUAGCUCAAGGAAGGAGGAGAGCCCAAGGCCAUCCCAAUGCCAUAUAUGGGGCACAUUACUCUUAUUCCAAACCAAUGUGGGAUCUUAACAUCCCCCUUAUGCCCAAGACCGAACACUUGAAACGUGAAACCCUUAUGGGAGGCUUAAAUAUUGGU